rnacentral:rRNA from 1 species
CGGGAAAAGGGGGACUCGCAAGGGCCUCGCGCGAUUGGAGCGGCCGAUAUCAGAUUAGCUAGUUGGUGGGGUAAAAGCCCACCAAGGCGACGAUCUGUAGCUGGUCUGAGAGGACGACCAGCCACACUGGAACUGAGACACGGUCCAGACUCCUACGGGAGGCAGCAGCGGGGAAUGUUGGACAAUGGGCGCAAGCCUGAUCCAGCCAUGCCGCGUGCAGGAUGAAGGCCUUCGGGUUGUAAACUGCUUUUGUACGGAACGAAAAGACUCUGGUUAAUACCUGGGGUCCAUGACGGUACCGUAAGAAUAAGCACCGGCUAACUACGUGCCAGCAGCCGCGGUAAUACGUAGGGUGCGAGCGUUAAUCGGAAUUACUGGGCGUAAAGCGUGCGCAGGCGGUUAUAUAAGACAGAUGUGAAAUCCCCGGGCUCAACCUGGGACCUGCAUUUGUGACUGUAUAGCUAGAGUACGGUAGAGGGGGAUGGAAUUCCGCGUGUAGCAGUGAAAUGCGUAGAUAUGCGGAGGAACACCGAUGGCGAAGGCAAUCCCCUGGGCCUGUACUGACGCUCAUGCACGAAAGCGUGGGGAGCAAACAGGAUUAGAUACCCUGGUAGUCCACGCCGUAAACGAUGAUAACUCGCUGUCGGCGAUACACAGUCGGUGGCCAAGCGAAAGCGAUAAGUUAUCCACCUGGGGAGUACGACCGCAAGGUUGAAACUCAAAGGAAUUGACGGGGGCCCGCACAAGCGGAGGAACAUGUGGUUUAAUUCGAUGAUACGCGAGGAACCUUACCCGGGCUCGAACGGUGCAGGAAUAUGGUAGAGAUAUCAUAGCUAGCAAUAGUCUGUAUCGAGGUGCUGCAUGGUUGUCGUCAGCUCGUGCCGUGAGGUGUCGGCUUAAGUGCCAUAACGAGCGCAACCCUUGUCGUUAGUUGCCAUCAAGUAAUGUUGGGGACUCUAGCGAGACUGCCUACGCAAGUAGUGAGGAAGGGGGGGAUGACGUCAAAUCAGCACGGCCCUUACGUCCGGGGCGACACACGUGUUACAAUGGUAGGUACAGAGGGCAGCUACCCAGCGAUGGGAUGCGAAUCUCUAAAACCUAUCUCAGUUCGGAUCGGAGUCUGCAACUCGACUCCGUGAAGUUGGCUUCGCUAGUACUCGCGCAUCAGCCAUGCCGCGGUGAAUACGUUCCCGGGCCU